AUGAACUCUGGAGCCGUGAGGAUCCACAGUAAAGGACAUUUCCAGGGUGGAAUCCAAGUCAAAAAUGAAAAAAACAGACCAUCUUUGAAAUCUCUGAAAACUGAUAACAGGCCAGAAAAAUCCAAAUAUAAGCCACUUUGGGGAAAAGUAUUUUACCUUGACUUACCUUCUGUCACCAUAUCUGAAAAACUGCAAAAGGACAUUAAGGAUCUGGGAGGGCGAGUUGAAGAAUUUCUCAGCAAAGAUAUCAGUUAUCUUAUUUCAAAUAAAAAGGAAGCUAAAUUUGCACAAACCUUGGGUCGAAUUUCUCCUGUACCAAGUCCAGAAUCUGCAAAUACUGCAGAAACCACUUCACCUCAUCCCAGCCAUGAUGGAAGUUCAUUUAAGUCACCAGACACAGUGUGUUUAAGCAGAGGAAAAUUAUUAGUUGAAAAAGCUAUCAAGGACCAUGAUUUUAUUCCUUCAUAUAGUAUAUUAUCAAAUGCCUUGUCAUGGGGAGUAAAAAUUCUUCAUAUUGAUGACAUUAGAUACUACAUUGAACAAAAGAAAAAAGUUGCAUUCACUCAAGAAAUCAAGUACUUCAGUAAGAGAUGGGGGCAAAAGAGUUGGUAGUGGUGCACAAAAAACAAGAACAGGAAGACUCAAAAAGCCUUUUGUAAAGGUGGAAGAUAUGAGCCAAAGCCCUGCAGUCCAUUUGAUGUAGACAAGCCAUCUAGUAUGCAAAAGCAAACUCAGGUUAAACUAAGAAUCCAAAC
rnacentral:lncRNA from 1 species